AUUGAACGCUGGCGGCAUGCCUUACACAUGCCAGUCGAACGGCAGCAUGAUCUAGCUUGCUCGAUUGAUGGCGAGUGGCGAACGGGUGAGUAAUACAUCGGAACGUGCCCUGUAGUGGGGGAUAACUAGUCGAAAGAUUAGCUAAUACCGCAUACGACCUGAGGGUGAAAGUGGGGGACCGCAAGGCCUCAUGCUAUAGGAGCGGCCGAUGUCUGAUUAGCUAGUUGGUGAGGUAAAGGCUCACCAAGGCGACGAUCAGUAGCUGGUCUGAGAGGACGAUCAGCCACACUGGGACUGAGACACGGCCCAGACUCCUACGGGAGGCAGCAGUGGGGAAUUUUGGACAAUGGGCGAAAGCCUGAUCCAGCAAUGCCGCGUGUGUGAAGAAGGCCUUCGGGUUGUAAAGCACUUUUGUCCGGAAAGAAAUGGCUCUGGUUAAUACCUGGGGUCGAUGACGGUACCGGAAGAAUAAGGACCGGCUAACUGCGUG
rnacentral:rRNA from 1 species